rnacentral:rRNA from 1 species
GUGGGGAAUAUUGCGCAAUGGGGGAAACCCUGACGCAGCGACGCCGCGUGGAGGAUGAAGGUCUUCGGGUUGUAAACUCCUUUUCUUAGGGAAAAUAAUGAUGGUACCUAAGGAAUAAGCCACGGCUAACUCUGUGCCAGCAGCCGCGGUAAGACAGAGGUGGCAAGCGUUGUUCGGAAUUACUGGGCUUAAAGGGCGAGUAGGCGGUGAGACAAGUCCGAGGUGGAAUCCUUUGGCUUAACCAGAGAACUGCCUUAGAUACUGUUUCACUUGAGUCAGUGAGGGGAGGGCGGAAUUCCCGGUGUAGCGGUGAAAUGCGUAGAUAUCGGGAGGAAGGCCAGUGGCGAAGGCGGCCCUCUGGUGCUGAACUGACGCUGAGGCGCGAAAGCGUGGGUAGCAAACAGGAUUAGAAACCCCUGUAGUCC